rnacentral:rRNA from 1 species
GAUGAACGCUGGCGGCGUGCCUAAUACAUGCAAGUCGAGCGAACGGACGAAAAGCUUGCUUCUCUGAUGCUAGCGGCGGACGGGUGAGUAACACGUGGAUAACCUACCUAUAAGACUGGGAUAACUUCGGGAAACCGGAGCUAAUACCGGAUAAUAUUUUGAACCGCAUGGUUCAAAAGUGAAAGACGGUCUUGCUGUCACUUAUAGAUGGAUCCGCGCUGCAUUAGCUAGUUGGUAAGGUAACGGCUUACCAAGGCAACGAUGCAUAGCCGACCUGAGAGGGUGAUCGGCCACACUGGAACUGAGACACGGUCCAGACUCCUACGGGAGGCAGCAGUAGGGAAUCUUCCGCAAAGGGCGAAAGCCUGACGGAGCAACGCCGCGUGAGUGAUGAAGGUCUUCGGAUCGUAAAACUCUGUUAUUAGGGAAGAACAUAUGUGUAAGUAACUGUGCACGUCUUGACGGUACCUAAUCAGAAAGCCACGGCUAACUACGUG